rnacentral:misc_RNA from 1 species
ACCCGAUGAGCCACCACGGGAAGUUACCAAGUGCGCGGUGCCUCCACGGGCGCCAGUCGCGGUGCAGCGGGCGCAGAGCUGAUCACACCCAGAGUCCCAGAGUCAGCUGAUUCACAACAAUGCUCCUGUGGGUCGUAGCAGCGCUGACCCUCGCGGUAGGAGUCACGUGGGCUGACACGCCCGCGAACUGCACUUUCGACGAUAUCAGAGGAGACUGGUUGUUGUAUGAGACCGAAAGAACUGGUGAUGCAGGAAUUGACUGUGAUGAUAUGGGCCCGAUUAUCCACAGGACGGAAGUGAGCUUAAUGUAUCCCAACAUAGCAGUCGAUGAGUAUGGAAACCGAGGGACUUGGACCAUGAUCUAUAACCAGGGUUUCGAAAUCAAGGUCGCAGGGAGAUCGUACUUCGCUUUCUCCCUUUGGGAAAAGACCGGCGACACAGUGCUGUCCAUCUGCGACAAGACCCUUACGGGAUGGUCGAGGGACAUCACCGUCAGGAACUGGGCGUGCUAUCGGGCGCAGAAGAAGGAACAAGGUCCUCGGAAGAGCCACGAGCUGCGACUUAUGGCUCAGGAGAACUCCCUCUACAAGUACAACAAGGCCUACCUCAACGACAUCAACUCCCAGCAAAGCAAUUGGGUCGCUGACGUGUACCCAGCGUAUGAGAGAAUGACCCUUAUGGACCACCUCAGACGCAACGGGGGAAGAGCGUCCGCCACCGCGAGUCGCAUGCACCCGGGUCCCAUCAGCUUCAUGACGAGGCUCCGGGACCUGUCUCUCCCCGAGUCAUGGGACUGGCGCAACGUCAGCGGGACCAACUAUGUGUCUCCUGUUAGGAACCAGGGCAACUGCGGGUCCUGUUACGCCUUUGCAUCCAUGGGCGGCCUGGAGUCUCGGGUGAGGAUUUUGACCAACAACCAUCAGAAGCCGGUGUUCGCGCCGCAGGAUGUCGUAGGAUGUUCUAAGCUCUCUCAAGGAUGCGAUGGUGGUUUUCCGUUCCUCAUCGCUGGCAGGUACGCACAAGACGUAGGUGUUGUGCUUGAGAACUGCUACCCCUAUGAAGGCAAAGACGACACUUGCACUAGGUCUAGCUGCACCAAACAUUACACAGCUUAUUACCGUUAUGUUGGAGGUUACUACGGAGCUUGCAACGAAGAGGAGAUGAAAAUAGCCCUCAUUAAAGGAGGACCUCUUAUCGUAGGCCUAGAAGUUUACGAUGACUUCCUCCAUUACAAGAGUGGCAUUUACCAUCACACAGGUCUUCGGGACAGCUUUAACCCCCUUGAGCUGACAAACCACGCGGUGUUACUCGUUGGAUAUGGAGAGGACGAGACGACCGGAGAAAAGUACUGGAGCGUUAAGAACUCUUGGGGUGAGGGGUGGGGAGAGGACGGUUACUUUAGAAUCCGCCGCGGCGUUGACGAGUGUGCCAUCGAGUCCAUGGCUGUGGAAGCUGUGCCCAUCCCAUAAAGCUAUACUAAACGGAAAAACAAGACAACGAAUAUUUCAGGGUGACGAGCUGGAGAAUGAUUUGAAUGUUGCAACUAGUUUCUUCAGCUAGGCAUGACUGGUUGAUAUUGAUAAUGUUGCUCUACUAGCUUUCAGCAGUAGAGGAAAUGUGCAGGAAAGACUCGAAGGUUCUAUCCGGUACAAGAUGGGUUUCAUAAGGAAUCGGAUUAGUGGUCAAUACAUCCUAAUCAUGAAGGAUAAUCAAUACUAGUUUUUAACAAAUCAAGAACAUCGUACAAUAAAUAAAACUCAGGUUAUGACUUUGUGGUUUGAUAAUUCCUUAUUGGAAAAUGUAAUUAACUCAAUAAAAGUGGGAAAUGGGGAUAUAUUGGGUAGUCUUAUUACUACAUGUAUUAUGAUAUAUGUUUUUUGUUGUUGUUAUUUCACUUCUUGAUAUAAUAUUCAAUUCAUUUUUCUUCCUUUAAUACUGAGGUAGGAUACAACUUAUAAUUAUUCAUUUUAAAUAUUUUCAUCAUGUAACAUUUAGAAAUACCUUUUUUUAAAAUAAUUACUAUUAUAUGCAUUCAAAAUAAAUACUUUAUAUUA